UGAGGAAUAUUGGUCAAUGGGCGUAAGCCUGAACCAGCCAAGUCGCGUGAGGGACGACGGCCCUACGGGUUGUAAACCUCUUUUGCCGGGGGACAAACGGCGGCACGCGUGCCGUCCUGAGGGUACCCGGAGAAAAAGCAUCGGCUAACUCCGUGCCAGCAGCCGCGGUAAUACGGAGGAUGCGAGCGUUAUCCGGAUUUAUUGGGUUUAAAGGGUGCGUAGGCGGGAUGCCAAGUCAGCGGUCAAAUACGGGGGCUCAACCUGCGUCCGCCGUUGAAACUGGCGUUCUUGAGUGGGCGAGAAGUACGCGGAAUGCGUGGUGUAGCGGUGAAAUGCAUAGAUAUCACGCAGAACCCCGAUUGCGAAGGCAGCGUACCGGCGCCCGACUGACGCUGAAGCACGAAAGCGUGGGUAUCGAACA
rnacentral:rRNA from 1 species